GCUCAUGCUCUUGCGCAAUGACUACGAAAAGACCGAGCCCUGCCAUUCGGACACAUUUUGAUCGAGAGCUGGUCCUCUUGCCAUUAAUUUUGUGGGUGUCCGGCAGGAUGGAAGACGAGACAACUACUCGUUCAAGCACUUGUCACGAAACGAGAAGCUGUUGCUGGGAAAAGAUGGAAGAAAAUGGACGA
ensembl:ncRNA C34H3.11 ncRNA